AGCCCCGUGGUGUAGUUGGUCAAGCAUCGCUGGCUCUGAACCAACAGACGGUGGUUCGAAGCCACCCUGGGCUG
rnacentral:tRNA from 1 species